GUGAAACCAUCUCCUGCACAUCCGGGUGCAGAACAGAAUGUUUUUGCCUUACUUGUAAUGAACAGCACGUUGCAAAUCUUCCCCAUGGGUGAUGACACCAGCUCAAACUGAUGAACUAAACCUGGGUGCAGGUUGCAAAGGAACAUAGAAUUGAAUUUUGGCUUGACAGUUGAAAAGAAUUUCUCUUCAUUUUUGAUCAUGUAAUUUCCUUCCUGUGUUGGUGGCCUCACAAGAUGAGUAUGGAGUUACUGUUGUGAUUACUCAUUCUCAUUAGGAAUGAAUUUUGACAACUGUCACUAGGACUGGGCUGAGCUUUGAGUAACAGUAAGUCAAAUAUACCAUAGAGUAGGAAAGUUUGUACAGUAGGCCAAUAGAUAUGGGAUGUAGUUUUAUUUCAGUG